CCUACGGGAGGCUGCAGUGGGGAAUAUUGGACAAUGGGCGAAAGCCUGAUCCAGCCAUGCCGCGUGUGUGAAGAAGGCCUUCGGGUUGUAAAGCACUUUCAGUGGGGAAGAAAGCCUUGGGGCUAAUACCCUCGAGGAAGGACAUCACCCACAGAAGAAGCACCGGCUAACUCCGUGCCAGCAGCCGCGGUAAUACGGAGGGUGCGAGCGUUAAUCGGAAUUACUGGGCGUGAAGCGCGCGUAGGCGGUCUGAUAAGCCGGUUGUGAAAGCCCCGGGCUCAACCUGGGAACGGCAUCCGGAACUGUCAGGCUAGAGUGCAGGAGAGGAAGGUAGAAUUCCCGGUGUAGCGGUGAAAUGCGUAGAGAUCGGGAGGAAUACCAGUGGCGAAGGCGGCCUUCUGGACUGACACUGACGCUGAGGUGCGAAAGCGUGGGUAGCAAACAGCAUUAGAUACCCGAGUAGUC
rnacentral:rRNA from 1 species